rnacentral:lncRNA from 1 species
UCGGCUAAAGUAUGUCUCGUGAAUUCCUUACGAUGACAUGGCAAAGUGUGUUUUUUUACUCCCGUCUGGGCGCGUGAAACCCUCAAAAUUAUGUUUUUCUCUUUUUUCUUUUUAAAUUAACCUUAUUUUAAUGACCCACUUACCUUCAUAUUCAUACUUCUUUCUUCUUCAUGUUUCACCAUUGCUGGAUAACAAGAACAAUAAAAAAGUUUCUUCCAAAUUACAACAAAUGGAAAUAACAUAAAAUAAGCACGCAAUUUCAUCCAAUAUUACUAUCACAAUUGCUUAAUUUUUUUCCUUAAAAAAAAUCGAGAAACAUCUGCAGCUUAGCCUUUCUUCUUCGUGGCUAAACCACCUCACCACCUGUAAUUCACCGUGAAACCACCAUAGAGGCAAUGAAAAUCAACCACUAAAGCUCCGAUAAAGCCACUGUAAAUCACCUUAAACUGUCGGACGAUAAAUCAAAGGAUACUUUUACACUAAAAAUAACUAAUUAGAGAAACAAAAGUGAUAUAAGCCCAAAUUUAUUGUCAAGAAAAUAAUGGGGAGAGAAGGCUGAAGACUCCGGUAAAACCAUUUGUUUCAGCUUCGGUCAGAGAUCAAUUUUCCGGCGAGGGUUGCAUGAGAGGAGUUUUUUU